CUAUGAAUGGGAGACUUUGCAAGGCCGUUACCAGUAUUCUAUGAAACAAUUAAAUCCACUUCUGAGGAGAAGAAUGAAAGCCAAGGCAGAUAUGAAAGAGCCAUGGACUGCUGACCUUUGAACCCUGAGAGGAGUGCAGAGCUCACUCAUAUUCUAAUGAAGUAUUUUUCUACCCUUAUUAUGAUUCUGACUCACUAUACUUCUUAUCAAAAUUACAUGAUGAGGAAUUGUAUGUUUGAAUAGCAGUCAAAUGAGAAGAGACUUUAUCAUUUAGCAAAUCUAUCUGCCCAAUUUCGUAGCUUGAGACAAUGCAAAAAUGUCAACCCAUGAUCUCUAUCCCAUUUUCUUUUGAUUAUCUCUACAGCUUGUAAAAAUCUCUGUACUUUUUUUCCAGUUUAAUUCUAUCUAGGUUAUAUUAUACAUUGAUUUAGUUG
rnacentral:lncRNA from 1 species